ACGGGAGGCAGCAGUGGGGGAUAUUGGUCAAUGGGGGGAACCCUGAACCAGCGACGCCGCGUGAGGGAAGAAGGUCUUCGGAUUGUAAACCUCUGUCCUUGGUGACGAAAAUGACGGUAGCCAAGGAGGAAGCCACGGCUAACUACGUGCCAGCAGCCGCGGUAAUACGUAGGUGGCAAGCGUUGUCCGGAAUUACUGGGUGUAAAGGGAGCGUAGGCGGGACUGCAAGUUGAAUGUGAAAGCUAUCGGCUCAACCGGUAAAUUGCGUUCAAAACUGCAGUUCUUGAGUGAAGUAGAGGCAAGCGGAAUUCCUGGUGUAGCGGUGAAAUGCGUAGAUAUCAGGAGGAACACCGGUGGCGAAGGCGGCUUGCUGGGCUUUUACUGACGCUGAGGCUCGAAAGCGUGGGUAGCAAACAGGAUUAGAUACCCUGGUA
rnacentral:rRNA from 1 species